rnacentral:lncRNA from 1 species
UAUAUCAAAUAACAUUUUUCAACAAAAGAAACUGAGAGAAAAGAAAAAGAAAUGAAAGCACAAUUUGCAGGUUAAAAGAAGAGUCCUCAAGAAUCUGGGGAAGAGAACUGAAUGAAUGCACUUCUCCUUGCUGCUGCCCUAUGAAGAAGGACAUGUUUGCUUCCCCUUCCCCCGUAAUUGUAAGUUUUCUGAGGCCUCCCCAGCCCUACAGAACGAGUUCAUGUUAUACUGGUGAUUCUUUCGUCUGUCUCAGAGAUGACAGCCUGCUAUACACCUUGUUGACCAAAAGCAACAUCAGGUAGAGAAGUUUAAGUCAAACCUUCACUAGUAUUUAAAA